UGGUGGAGUGAUUUGUCUGGUUAAUUCCGAUAACGAACGAGACCUUGUCUUAUUAAAUAGUUUAUAAUAGUUUAGAAGGGGGAUUUAUUUCCUUUUUGUAAUUAUUCAAUGUAAACUUCUUAAAUAAUUUUCAUUAAUAGGACAGCUGAUGUUUAAUCAGAGGAAGUUCAAGGCAAUAACA
rnacentral:rRNA from 1 species